rnacentral:rRNA from 2 species
GGAAACAGUGGCUAAGACUGGAUAGGAAGAUAAAAGGCAUCUUUUAUCUUUUAAAAGACCUAGUAAUAGGUAUGCUUUAGGAGGGGCUUGCGCCAUAUUAGUUAGUUGGUAGGGUAAUGGCCUACCAAGACGAUGAUGUGUAGCUGGACUGAGAGGUUGAACAGCCACAUUGGGACUGAGACACGGCCCAAACUCCUACGGGAGGCAGCAGUAGGGAAUUUUCGGCAAUGGAGGAAACUCUGACCGAGCAACGCCGCGUGAAUGACGAAGUACUUCGGUAUGUAAAGUUCUUUUAUCAAGGAAGAAAAGCAAAUGGCGAACCAUUUGUUUGCCGGUACUUGAUGAAUAAGCCCCGGCUAAUUAUGUGCCAGCAGCCGCGGUAAGACAUAAGGGGCAAGUGUUAUCCGGAAUUAUUGGGCGUAAAGGGUGCGUAGGCGGUCUAGUAAGUCAGUGGUGUAAUGGCAACGCUUAACGUUGUCCGGCUAUUGAAACUGCUAAACUUGAGUUAGAUAGAGGCGAGUGGAAUUCCAUGUGUAGCGGUAAAAUGCGUAAAUAUAUGGAGGAACACCAGAGGCGUAGGCGGCUCGCUGGGUCUUAACUGACGCUGAGGCACGAAAGCGUGGGGAGCAAACAGGAUUAGAUACCCUGGUAGUCCACGCCGUAAACGAUGAGUACUAAGUGUCGGGUUAAACCGGUACUGAAGUUAACACAUUAAGUACUCCGCCUGAGUAGUACGUACGCAAGUAUGAAACUUAAAGGAAUUGACGGGACUCCGCACAAGCGGUGGAUCAUGUUGUUUAAUUCGAAGAUACCCGAAAAACCUUACCAGGUCUUGACAUGUUUUUGCAAAAUGAUAGUAAUAUCGUGGAGGUUACCAGAAACACAGGUGGUGCAUGGUUGUCGUCAGCUCGUGUCGUGAGAUGUUAGGUUAAGUCCUAAAACGAGCGAAACCCUUAUCGUUAGUUGCCAGCACGUUAUGGUGGGGACUUUAACGAGACUGCCAAUGAUAAAUUGGAGGAAGGUGAGGAUCACGUCAAAUCAGCAUGCCCCUUAUGACCUGGGCUACAAACGUGAUACAAUGGCUGUUACAAAGGGUAGCUGAAACGCAAGUUCUUGGCCAAUCCCCAAAAACAGUCCCAGUCCGGAUUGAAGUCUGCAACUCGACUUCAUGAAGUUGGAAUCGCUAGUAAUCGCGAAUCAGCAUGUCGCGGUGAAUACGUUCUCGGGGUUUGUACACACCGCCCG